rnacentral:rRNA from 1 species
GACGAACGCUGGCGGCGUGCCUAAUACAUGCAAGUCGAGCGGACAGAAGGGAGCUUGCUCCCGGAAGUUAGCGGCGGACGGGUGAGUAACACGUGGGCAACCUACCCUGUAGAUCGGGAUAACAUCGAGAAAUCGGUGCUAAUACCGGAUAAUCAUUUGAAGUGCAUGCUUCGAAUGUAAAAGAUGGCUCCGGCUAUCACUACGGGAUGGGCCCGCGGCGCAUUAGCUAGUUGGUAAGGUAAUGGCUUACAAAGGCAACGAUGCGUAGCCGACCUGAGAGGGUGAUCAGCAACACUGAGACUGAGACACGGCCCAGAAUCCAACGGGGGGCAGCAGUAGGGAAUCUUCCGCAAUGGACGAAAGUCUGACGUAGCAACGCCGCGUGAGUGAUGAAGGUUUUCGGAUCGUAAAGCUCUGUUGUUAGGGAAGAACAAGUGCCGUUUGAAUAAGGCGGCACCUUGACGGUACCUAACCAGAAAGCCACGGCUAACUACGUGCCAGCAGCCGCCGUAAGAC